GGUGGCUCAGUGGUAGAGUGCUUGCCUCAUAUGCAUGAGUACCUGGGUUCCAGUCCUCAGCACCA
rnacentral:tRNA from 1 species